rnacentral:rRNA from 1 species
CCCUUAGAUGUUCUGGGCCGCACGCGUGCUACACUGAGUGGAUCAGCGGGUCAGGUUGCGCGAAAGCGUUUCCUAAUCUUUAAAUCCGCUCGUGAUGGGGAUUGACGGUUGCAAUUUUCUGUCAUGAACGAGGAAUACCUUGUAAGCGCGGGUCAUCAUCCCGCGCUGAAUACGUCCCUGCCCUUUGUACACACCGCCCGUCGCUCCUACCGAUUGAGUGGUCCGGUGAGGCUUUGGGAUCUGAUCGGAAAGAGCGUUUCGCUGUUUCUGCUCGGAAAACUCAGUCGAACCUUAUCAUUUAGAGGAAGGAGAAGUCGUAACA